AUUGAACGCUGGCGGCAAGCCUAACACAUGCAAGUCGAACGGUAACAGGAAACAGCUUGCUGUUUCGCUGACGAGUGGCGGACGGGUGAGUAAUGUCUGGGAAACUGCCUGAUGGAGGGGGAUAACUACUGGAAACGGUAGCUAAUACCGCAUAACGUCGCAAGACCAAAGAGGGGGACCCUCGGGCCUCUUGCCAUCGGAUGUGCCCAGAUGGGAUUAGCUUGUUGGUGGGGUAACGGCUCACCAAGGCGACGAUCCCUAGCUGGUCUGAGAGGAUGACCAGCCACACUGGAACUGAGACACGGUCCAGACUCCUACGGGAGGCAGCAGUGGGGAAUAUUGCACAAUGGGCGCAAGCCUGAUGCAGCCAUGCCGCGUGUAUGAAGAAGGCCUUCGGGUUGUAAAGUACUUUCAGCGGGGAGGAAGGGAGUAAAGUUAAUACCUUUGCUCAUUGACGUUACCCGCAGAAGAAGCACCGGCUAACUCCGUG
rnacentral:rRNA from 1 species